AGGAAUAAUGGGAAGAAAGGAGUUAAGGGGGAAAGUAUACUGUUAGCAUACAAUGCAAAAACAUUAGUCAUAAGGCGGUGGGGAAUCAUUAUUAUUACAUUUAUGUUGAUUUCUGGAUAUAUGAGUUACUGGUUGUCCUCUGGGAUAGUCCCUUCAUUAUUAAUGUAGGGCCUGGAAGAGCUGAGAGUCGUUUUCAUGAGCUAACCAAGGAAGCCAUAUCUUGUCAAAGGCCGCCAUAUCAUUUUUCAAGGUAUAAGUAAUCUUUUCGUUGGUGGCAAUGCCGAUUAUUUUUGCAUUUAGGGGACCCCAAUGGUAUUCCUGUUUUUUUUCCAGUUGGCUGCUAUAAUGAGCCUCGCCACCAUUAAGAUAAUCUGUGGGCUGAGUUUGUAUAUUUGUAUGGCUUUUUUCCCCAAUAACAAUACCAUAUGAAGAACUCUGUAUAGUAGGUUGACUACUGCAUCCCAAAAUUGAGAUACAGCCUUGCAGGUCCACCAUAUAUGUAACACAGUUCCUGGGUCUGGAAGACUCAAAGCAUUGUGGAUUGCACAUAGGAUAUAGUUUGUUCAGUCUUGUGGGGACUAGAUAAGUCCUAUGGAGUAACUUAAUAGACGUCUCCCUUAUGGUCACAUAAGUGCUCCCUUUGUGUGCUGUAAGCCUGCAUUGAGCCCAUUGUUGGGUUGAAAGUGUGGUAUUUAAGUCCUUCUCCCUGGGGAUUGUUGUGAAGGUUGGUUUAACAUUUUGUAAAGUGUGCUGAGUAUGCCUGGUUGAAGUGGACAUUGCCUACAGAUGGUCUCCAAGGCUGUGGACUUCAUGCUGUUGUCUUUGGCAAGCCUUACUUGUUGUUGCGCGAAGUGGGCCAACUGUGUUGUCCGAAAUACUUCUUGUAUAAGGGGGGUCGUAGAGGUCCCAUAGUUGUUGAGGCAUUAAAGGUUUCCCAUGUCUAGUUAAUGACUAAAGUGUGGUUAGUCCUUUGGUGCUCCACCAAGAUAAUGCUUGGUUGUUUGCCAGGGGGGUUAAGGGUGAUGGGGUGGCUAUUAGGCCAAAUCUCCUCUGCAAUGCAUACCACAUAUGUAGCAUUUCCAUAGUUAUUGGAGAAGCAUUUGAUAUUUUGUGAUAUGGUAUCUUUGUUGAGAUAAAUAUGGGUAUAAUAAGUCAUACUCCAUCUGGACCCAUAAUGGGGCUAAGGGCCCUGCAUGUAGUGGGGCUAACUGCACUAGGCGAGCCACCAGUAGUAUUUGACAAGGUGGGGUACUGAUAGGCCUCCAUUGGCUUUAUGUGAGAUCAUUGUUUGUUUGGAUAUUCUUGGAUGUUUAUUUUGCCAAAUAAAUGUGUUAAUCUUGGAUUGUAACAUGUAUAAGUCCUGUAAUGGUACUUUAAUCAGUAACAUUCUAAACAAAUAGAGGAUUUUAGGUAAAAGUACCAUUUUGAUGCAGUGGAUCCUGCCGACCCAAGAGAUCCUGUGUCUAUUCCAUUUUUGUAAAUCCUGCGUCAAGGACUUGAACAUAAGUUAGAAAUUGGCUUUAUAUAGAGCAGGUAGUAGACUAGUUAUUUUUAACUCCCAAAUAUUGUAAAUAUUCUGACUGUGAAUAAAUCUGAUGGCAGGCACUCAAAUAAAGGCAAUCUUCCAAUGAAUUGUAGAAAUCAAGUAGAAAAGAUUUAUUGUGUCCUCUGCCUUACGCGUUUCAUAGGCUCGUGAUUAAGUGUUUGUAACAAAUUUGCCUUUAUUUGAGUGCCUGUCAUCAGAUGUAUUCACGGUUGUCCGCUCCCCAAGCUGAGGGCUCAGGGCGGUGCACCUGGGCCACUUCCUAUAUGUGGUGAGUAAAUACUUUACUCAUGAAAAAACCCUCUUCAGUCUUAUUAAAAUAUUCUGACUGUAUCUUGAAACCAAAAUUAAGUUCCAGUAACUUAAUAGCAUGUUUCGGCAGGUUACAGGGCAGCAGCUCAGAUUUAUCUGGGUUUAUAUUUAAACCAGAAACUCUAACAAAUUCUGUUAAAGAAUUCAUCAAGUUGGGUAAUGGUAGUAUGUCUUUAGUGAAUUCAAAAAGUUUGGGCCUAUCCCUAUUGUUUCUAAUAACGUGAAGAGGUAUUGCCAGUUUAAUGUGUUGAUUGCCUUUUCAAUAUCGAGCACUAAUAGGCAAAGGGGGGUUUAAAUUUAUUUGCAUGAGCUAUAAUGUUAAGGAUCUUUCGUAUAUUAUCAGGGGCCUGUCGGGUGGGGAUAAAGCCGAUCUGGUCUUUAUGGAUAACUGUAUUUAAUACUUUGUUUAAUCGGUUUGCUAGGAUAGUUGCUAAUAUUUUUAUAUCCAGAUUUAAGAGUGAUAUUGGCCUAUAGUUUUUGGGGGAUAAAUGGUCCUUAUUCGGUUUUGGUAUCACUGUCACUUUAGCUUCAUUAAUUUCUGGGGGUAGGGGUUGGCCAGUUGUGAUGUGUUGGAAAAGUUUUUGUAAAUGUGGGAUAAAUUGAGUUUGAAAUUCUUUAUAGAAAAGGGAAGAGAAUCCAUCAGGACCUGGGGCUUUGUUUGAUUUCAAAUGUUUAUCUUCUUCUAGUACAGAUUUCAUCUUUUGUGUCAAAGGCGUCGGGGCAUGUUUCUUAAUAUACAUGUGUAAAGCUUUAUUGUCUAAUUGGUGUGUGGAGUCAUAUAACUGUUGAUAAUUAGUCUGGAAAGUUGAAGCAAUAGCAUCUGGAUCAGAGGUAAUGCGACCAUCUGGUUGCCUAAUUUUGUGGAUGGAGUUUUGCUUGUUAUGGGCCUUUAAUAUAUUUUCCAGCAUUCUAUCAGGUUCAUUAGCAUAUAGAUAAAAUUUAUGGUUGGUCUUGCAAAUGGACUGUUAGGCGGUAUAUAUUUGGCAUGCUUUUAUUUUUUGCUUAGUUUCUUCUAUAAUCCAUCUAGUUCUGGGGUUAGAGUGGGAUCUAUAAGACUUUUCGAGGGUAUCAAGGAGGGUCAAUGUUUGUAAGCUUUCAUGCUUUUUUUUAGCUGCAUAUUGGAUCAGACAUCCCCUGAUAUACGCCUUGUGUGCUACCCAUACCCAAGCUGGAGAUGAUUCAGGUGUUGAGUUCUCUUUCAUAAAUUGCUUUAAUUCUUUUGUUAUUUGAUUGAUGCAUUCAGGAUCAGCUAAUGAACUCUCGUUUAAUCUCCAAUUUGGUCGUAUUGUAGAGGAGGUCUGCAAAUCCAGUAUUGUCAACAAAAGAUCAUUAUCUGACCAAGCACAGUGGAGUAUUUUGGAAUCUAUUAUCCUAGAGGCAUCUUGAUUGUUGAUUAAAAUAUAAUCUAUCCUGGAUUAACUAUGGUGUACAUGCGAAUAGUGUGUAUAUCCCCCUUUGUUAUCAUUAGCCUCUCUCCAUGAGUCCGUCAUGCCAUGUGUGUGCAGGAGACUCUCAACCUGUUUUGUAAUUUUUUUGUAUUUUGUUGUAUCAAUCUCUGAGGUCCUAUCUAAGGCAUAGUUAAAAGAAAAAUUAAAGACUCCUGCCCACACAAUUCUCGCUUUUGGGAGGGUUGCUAGUUUACUCAAAAUGUUUUAAAAGACGGGGAGCGGUGAAUCAUUAGGAGCAUAAGUGGAGACAAUAGUAUAGGGUGUGCCGUAUAGUGUUCCCAAAAGUAUGAUAUAUUGACCGAGGAUGGUCUUUGUGAUGUUAAAUGGAAACUUGUUGUGAAGAAAUAUGGCUAAUCAUGCUUACGUGUUGUAUAGGAGAGAAAGAACCUGGAAAAGUUUUUGUGGUAGAAUUUAGGGAAGGAAGUCAAAGUAAAGUGCGUUUCCUGUACACAUAAUAUAUCUGGUGAUAGCUGCCUGCCGUUUCGUUGGGGAGUUGAGACCCUGUGUGUUCUGUGAUAUAAUUUUAAUUGACAUUUAUAAACUUAAGAGUUAUUCCAAUAUUGCUAUAGAUAACUUUAAAAAUCUGUCUGGCAUUGCUAUAAUUGUUUAACAUUUUAAGGGUCCCAAGUCUCCACCUUAAUCCUCUCCAUUCCCAACAUUGUAUAUGCAUUAGUACAAAAUACAUGAUCCCCACCGCACAAAAACAAAGUAAUAGUAAAGCAUAAAAACAAAGUAAUAAAUAAUGAAAAGAGUAUAAACAUGAAUAUUAACUUCAAAAAAUAAGACGUAGUGUGUAAACACUUCAGACGAGCACUGUGACUUCACUGGUAACCUCCUGGCUCGGAGGGGGAGUAGAAGAAAGGUGCUCUGUGGGGGGGGGGCAGUAUCCCGCAUCCCCAGGUUCAGAUGGUGUUGAGGGGGAACAUAGUCCAAAAAUGUUAUUACUGAAGUGGACAUUAGGCAUUUUUAUGCCAGGGUUGGGUGGAUAGGUUUGCUUACCCUCACCCCUGCAUGAUUACUGUAUCCGUCUUGGCUUCCUAGCUGUAUAUUGUGGGGCAGCGUGUCACUGCUUAAUUCCCUAGCCGCUUGUAGAGCUAGGUCUCUCAUUUCCACAUGAUGCCGUUUCAGUACUAUGUCUCUUGGAAUGUUUGGAUUGCGUGGGCGGCCUAAGGCCCUGUGUAUAUGCUCAAUAUAGAGUUGUUUCUCUGAAGGUCGGGGAGUAAUUGUUGCAGCACCCCUGCCAUUAAUUGUGUUAUGUCUUGUAAUAUCUCAUAUCUCAUAUCCCAUAACUAAGUGAGGUAAAGCAUCGACUUGAUUGGCUGGGACUGUCUUUUGGGUGUGGCUAUCCUGGGAAAAGUGUAGUAUGCUUGUUUGAAUGGUCUUCCUUAUGUGUAUAUAAAGAGCAUUGUAAAUCCCUUGUUAGUUAGUCACUUUCAACUCCCUUCCAUUGCAUCCUUCCCUAUCCCUUUCUACCUCCCUCCAUGUUAGUUAGUUCCCUUUUUAUGUAAUACCUUUUAGUUCCUUUGUAAAUAAAUACCACUUAUUUAAAGAUCACUCUGCCUCAAGUCAUUAGCCUGGCACCUCAAAAUAGAGCAGAUCCAACAUAUUGGCACCCCAGAUGGGACGAUUUCAACUAAACCCAUCAUCGUAAGGAAAAGGAAUCUGCUUGGCUGAGAAGAUUUGAGAAGCCUGAGACUGACGCGUUAAAGGUCUGACCAGAAAAGAAAGCCUGGAGCCUAACACAGAGUACUAGUGGAAGAACGAUUGUCCAUUUAUCCUGUAAAAUGAAGAAGAUACUGUGAUUUUAAAAUUGAUUUUUGUUUCAACAGGUUGUAGAUUUGUUUUAGCACCUGAUGACUUUGUGUCUUACACUAAAUAACCCUGAUUAACUGGAUAACUGUUUUUAAAACCACGUGGUACAAUCAAUGAGCUCAAUAGUAAAAUAAUUGUUUGCAAACAAUUUAAAAAACAAUAUUUAAACUCAAUAACAUCUCUUCACAAUACUGGUGUCCUUGGUAUAUUAUUAACUUUAUUGUCCACAGGUAUUUGUUUUUGUUCAUUUAUUUGUGUUGUUAAAUGUAAAUGUGUUUAUCUUUGUUUUACAUGUUGUCUCUGUUUAGUGUUUUGUGUUAGUUUGUAUACAGUAUUAGUACCUUCAUUGUUUUAUCAAAACACUGCUUAAAAUAGCAGACCGUGUAAUUUUGAAUUUAAUGGUACCUACGUUUUUCGGUACCAAAUGGGGGGUGAUCAUAGUUUUUCUUUCCUAAAGCCCAUCAAAAGAUGCAGUAGAUACAUGAAAAUGUUUUUACAAUUUUUUUAUUGUUAUUUUUGUUUUUUUGCAGCUUUCAUUUUAUAUCAUUUUAUAUUAUUUUUUUAACUGAAUGUACUGAACAGAUAAUAAUGCUAAGCAUAUGGUCCUGCUCUUGCUCUUUUAUUUCCAGGAUCCAUGAAACUACAUAGAAAACAAAAUGUGGGCCCUGGAUCAACUGAGUUUGGUUAUGUUUUGAAGGGCAAAUGUGUUUAGAACUUUUAAAUUUUAUUAAGACAGGUUUCAGAACAGCAUUACUCACACAUUGUUCAGGUUAAAUGGAAUACAUAGGGCACAACUUUCUUCUUAGAAUAAGUAUGUUUAUGUGUAUAUAUAUAUAUAGCAAUAUAAGUAUGUUAUUUAUGUUUUAGUUAAUGAUGUGUUUCGUUGGUUAUACAUAGUGCAUUUGCAUAUAAAGUUAGAAGGCAUUAUGCAGAUAAAAAUAACAUUAAUUUAAGAAUAUGCAGACUAGCAAACAAAUGUCUGUAUUAUACAGAGUUUAAUUUGGUGUUAUGCUACAUGGAAUGUACAUGUAUAUAUAAGGUGCAGUGUUUGGUGGUAUUGACAACCUAUGUUAUUGCCUUGUAUCUUAUCAUGUGUGAAUGAGAGUGAAUGGUGCAAUGUUGUCUGUUCCCUGCCCAAGGAUGUUACACCGAUAUAGCCACAAGUCCGAAGAGGUUCUUCCAAUGCUUUCAUGGUGUGUCCUUCAGACACAAAUGGGGGAAUGUAAUAUCUCAUAUCUCAUAUCCCAUAACUAAGUGAGGUAAAGAAUUAACAGUGACUCUGGGCUCAGGGCAGUGUACACUAUAAACACAGACGCAAAGACUGACAGAACAAAGACUAUCCUGUCGUAAAAGGUGAUUGCCUUCAUAUCUAUCUCCUAACACUGUUGUAUAAAUGAGGAACAGCUAUCAUGGACAAAGAGAGGAGUCCAUAGACCCGGCCUCGGGUGAGGAAACAACAAAGUCAAUGAAUGGCAUGGGAGGAUCCCAACAACAAAGGAUGAAAGGAUAUGUGUUUACACCCUCAAGGUGUCAGAACAGGUUUCAGACCUUGGGAACAAAUGUCAGAUAUGGAAGUGACUGUCUGUGCAACACUGCCACCCACAGGACAUCUUAAACAUCAUUAGUUGAUCUACACUGCCAUCUACAGGACGCUACUAACUUGGAGGUUUCCAUGGCUCAUCAUAUGACAUCGACUUGAUUGGCUGGGACUGUCUUUUGGGUGUGGCUAUCCUGGGAAAAGUGUAGUAUGCUUGUUUGAAUGGUCUUCCUUAUGUGUAUAUAAAGAGCAUUGUAAAUCCCUUGUUAGUUAGUCACUUUCAACUCCCUUCCAUUGCAUCCUUCCCUAUCCCUUUCUACCUCCCUCCAUGUUAGUUAGUUCCCUUUUUAUGUAAUACCUUUUAGUUCCUUUGUAAAUAAAUACCACUUAUUUAAA